UACAGAGGGUGCGAGCGUUAAUCGGAAUUACUGGGCGUAAAGCGUGCGUAGACGGUUAUUUAAGUCGGGUGUGAAAGCCCCGGGCUCAACCUGGGAAUUGCAUUCGAGACUGAAUAGCUAGGGUACGGUAGAGGGAAGCGGAAUUUCCGGUGUAGCGGUGAAAUGCGUAGAUAUCGGAAGGAACAUCAGUGGCGAAAGCGGCUUCCUGGACCAGUACCGACGUUCAGGCACGAAAGCGUAGGGAGCAAACAGG
rnacentral:rRNA from 1 species